rnacentral:lncRNA from 1 species
UGAAGAUGAUGGAAUUAUAAUCAGGCCUUGAAGAACGGAGACAAUUCCAGCCAUUGUUGUAGAUGUGGAGGCUGAAGGACAUUCCAAUUUGAAGGAACAGAAGAUGGGAUCUCACUCUGCUGCCCAGGCUGGUCUCCUCCUGCCUUGGCCUCCCAAAGUGUUGGAAUUACAAGUGUGAGCCACUGUGCCUGGCCCUGAAUAAGUUUCUUGACCCAGAGUUCCUGAAGAGGAGGAUGGGAACCUUGGAGGCUGUUUCUCCAGGCUGUGAUGGAGUCUUGUUGUGUUGCCCAGCCUGGCGUCUAACCCCUGGCCUCAAGCGAUCUUCCUGCCUUGGCCCCCCAAAGUGCUGGAAGUAUAGGCAUGAGUCACCACGCCCAGCCAAAUUUGUGUCUUAUUUUUAAUAAAUUU